CUGACACUGACACUGAGGUGCGAAAGCGUGGGUAGCAAACAGGAUUAGAUACCCUGGUAGUCCACGCCGUAAACGAUGUCGACCAGCCGUUGGGUGCCUCGCGCACUUAGUGGCGAAGUUAACGCGAUAAGUCGACCGCCUGGGGAGUACGGCCGCAAGGUUAAAACUCAAAUGAAUUGACGGGGGCCCGCACAAGCGGUGGAGCAUGUGGUUUAAUUCGAUGCAACGCGAAGAACCUUACCUACUCUUGACAUCCUGCGAACUUGUGAGAGAUCACUUGGUGCCUUCGGGAGCGCAGAGACAGGUGCUGCAUGGCUGUCGUCAGCUCGUGUUGUGAAAUGUUGGGUUAAGUCCCGUAACGAGCGCAACCCUUGUCCUUAUUUGCCAGCACGUAAUGGUGGGAACUCUAAGGAGACUGCCGGUGACAAACCGGAGGAAGGUGGGGACGACGUCAAGUCAUCAUGGCCCUUACGAGUAGGGCUACACACGUGCUACAAUGGCCGGUACAAAGGGCAGCGAGCUCGCGAGAGUCAGCGAAUCCCUUAAAGCCGGUCUCAGUCCGGAUCGGAGUCUGCAACUCGACUCCGUGAAGUCGGAAUCGCUAGUAAUCGUGCAUCAGAAUGGCACGGUGAAUACGUUCCCGGGCCUUGCACACACCGCCCGU
rnacentral:rRNA from 1 species